UCCUGUUUUCAGGUCAGAUUUCAAGAGGAAAGACAGACCUUCAGCUGAUACAUACUGAUAUGCCAGGAGAAAAGCUUCCCAUAACAAGGUUGCAUUCUUUAGUUAAUGGUGAAACAAUCUAUAUUAUUGCGUAUACCUCUUGCGUAGUACUCAUCUUGGGAAUAGUCCUGGUGGCUCUUCUAAAGACCAGAGCCUGCAGAGCAACGUAUCCAUCAAGAAAUCCCUCACCAGUUCAUUCAUCUGAGAUUCUUAUGGUCCAUUAACAGUCAUAGAUAAUCAACAUUGUGGCAAACUCUCUUUAAGGCUAUUCUUGGUAGUCAGACUGUUGUGGAUA